UUUUUCCUUCUUUUCUGCUUGUUUUAUUACAAAGUAUGAGUUAUUUUCAUUUUUAAUCCCAGAUUUUAAGGGCAACAAAGUAACAAGAGCAUUGAAAUAACAUGAGCAGGCACAAGAUGUGAAAAGCGUGGGAGGUACGGCUGACACUGAGAUCUGCUCAAGGUCCUUUAACGUUUGAGUCCUUCAGAGACUGAGCUGCAGCCCCUGCUUGCAAGCUACAUGCAGAUGGGUCACAGUAGCCAGGAGGUCCGGCGUUUCCGGGUGGUCCAGGAAUACCAGGCUGUCCAGCAACUCCCGGAGGACCUCUUUCUCCAUCACGUCCAUCC